AGAAGAAGAAAUAAUCAUCCCUCACUUCCUGAGGAAAUUCCCCAGCGCUCCUUUUUCUCUUCAUCUCCUGUUUCAGACGCCCAGAUCGUCACGGACACCAAACCGUGGUGGACCGCCACGGCUGGAGUCUCGACCCCGGGACGACUGAGCAGCGACGCCCAGAUCCUAUCUGGGUGUCUCUGGUUUGCUGAGGAGCCUGAUGAGAUUUCCCAGCUACUCCUUUUCCUUCCCGUGUGCCCCUCCAACCCUCCAACCCCACCUCUCCGUAGCCCCCGCCGCCGCCGCUCCAAACUCUGGGAAAGGAGCGAGGAGCUGGUCCCAGAUUAGAGUUGGAGGUACGGGGGCUCAGGGCUGAAAAAACACGGAGAAAUAAAAAAGAGAUGAAACUAAAAAAUCAGAUGAAGUCGAAAAAAAGUGAAUCAAAUCAGCUGUGAGAGCAGCAGCUGACCUUUGACCUUUCCUCCUCCUCCUCCUCCUCCUCCUCCUCCUCCUCCUCCUCGCCGAGGUUGGAGCUGAUCGAAAAGGAAAUGAGCCGCUCUAACAUCCCACCUUUUCCCAGAUCCCAGGAGGAGCGCGGUCCUGGUGGCAGCAGCGGCGGCGAGAACAAUGGCAGGAAACUGGGAGAGGAGCGAGGGAGUUCCUGUUGGCAGGACGGCGCUGAAGAAGAGAGCGAGGGACGUGCCUACAGGAUCCACGCCGCCCAACGCCGUCAGGAACUGGACCCUUCAAAACUCUUACAGACUAUUGUUGGAGAUGAUCCGAGUCCAAACGAGUGACGGUGGAGAAAACCGCAAAUGAUUUACCGAGAAAAAAACAAACUGUAAUCUUCUCUCCAACAACCUUCUCUUCUGUUUGUCUCCAAUAGUCAGGAAAUCUUCACAUGAGAAAAAUAACUGUUCAAAUCAGUUCUAGUCUCAUCCAAAGGAAUCUUGUUUUCAGAUUCAGUAAGCCUUGUUUCAAGAUCAGCCUGCUUGGAUUGAGACAGAGUUUAGUCAUUCUUCACUAAUACUGGGUAUUUUUUCUCUACAUUUCUAUUUUUGGUUGAACUAAUCUUCAGCUUCAUUUGAUCAAAGGAAGAAAAAUAAAUAUGUCAUUGAUUAGAUUUAGUCGAUUUCACUGAUUUUAGGGCUGGAAAAGUGACAUUUUAAUCAUCUGAUCUUAAACC